GCGGGCGUGGUGGAAUUGGUAGACACGCUAGCUUGAGGGGCUAGUGCCCAUUACGGGCGUGGAAGUUCAAAUCUUCUCGCUCGCACCA
rnacentral:tRNA from 1 species